rnacentral:rRNA from 1 species
UCUGGCGGCCAUAGCGGGUUGGUCCCACGCCUUCCCAUCCCGAACAGGACCGUGAAACGACCUAGCGCCGAUGAUAGUAUGGAUA